GACGUAGGGCGCGAGCGUUGUCCGGAUUUAUUGGGCGUAAAGAGCUCGUAGGCGGUUUGGUUAGUCAGGUGUGAAAUCUCCACGCUCAACGUGGGAACUGCAUUUGAAACUCCCUUUCUUGAGUGCCGGAGAGGAAAGCGGAAUACCUGGUGUAGAGGUGAAAUUCGUAGAUAUCAGGUGGAACACCAGUGGCGAAGGCGGCUUUCUGGACGGUAACUGACGCUGGAGACGCGAAAGCGUGGGGAGCAAACAGG
rnacentral:rRNA from 1 species